GCGCGUGUAGCUCAGUGGUUAGAGUAUCACUCUUAUAAAGUGGGGGUCGAUGGUUCAAAUCCAUCCACGCGCACCA
rnacentral:tRNA from 1 species